UUUAUUAGAAGAGACGCAUUUAUUAGAUAAAAAGCCAAUGCAUGCUUUUACAGUAUGAAAAUUGGUGAUUUAUAAUAACUUAGCAAAUCGCAAAGUGAAAACAGGCGAUAAAUCAUUCAAGUUUCUGACCUAUCAGCUUUCGACGGUAUGGUAUUGGCUUACCGUGGCAGUGACGGUUAACGGGGGAUUAGGGUUCGAUUCCGGAGAGGGAGCCUGAGAAACGGCUACCACAUCUAAGGAAGGCAGCAGGCGCGCAAAUUACCCAAUUCUAACAGUUUGAGAGAGGUAGUAACAAGAAAUAACAAUACAAGGCAGUUAAAAUGCUUUGUAAUUGGAAUGAUAGAAAUUUAAACCCUUUUUAAAGUAUCAAUUGGAGGGCAAGUCUGGUGCCAGCAGCCGCGGUAAUUCCAGCUCCAAUAGCGUAUAUUAAAAUUGUUGCAGUUAAAAAGCUCGUAGUUGAAGUUCUGCUAAAAGUAACCGGUCUGCUUUUAAUAAAGGUGGUAUCUUGGUGUGUAUUUAGCAAUGAUGUCCUUUGAAGUGUUUUUUACUUUAUUGUAAUAAAGCAUAUUCAGGACUUUUACUUUGAGAAAAUUAGAGUGUUUCUAGCAGGCUAACGCUUUGAAUA
rnacentral:rRNA from 1 species